AUUCAUACAUUGUAUAUGAGGUUGGAGUAAACUGGCUCACACAGUAUAUUAUAUGAACGCUGUUUGUGUGUGUGUAAAUCAUUUAUACUUUUUUCAUAAUAUAUUAUAUGUCUUGAUCACUUUAUAAUGCAGAAUUAAAUAUUGUAAUAAUAAUAAGAAAGACAAUGUAACAUGUUGAUAUAAUACUAAUUGAUAUUUGUUAAUAUAGUCUGUAGGCAUUGUGUAAAUAUUACAAAUUCAAAUUGAUUAUACAUAAAUACACACAACAUUACAAAUAUUAAAGGUAUUUUCAUCAGAUUUCAUCUGAGUGGCCUUUGAUCUAGUCAAAUUUCAGAGGAGGCAUCCUUACCUCUUCCCCUGUGUAUACCCCUACCAGUAGCAAUCAGCUGUAAAAUCUUGACAAAUCCAAACAUGCAAAAUGUGCCCAUUGUUGUCACAUAAUGCCUCAAAAUGACUAUAUUUCUUAUAAAAUAAGGCUAAUUUUAUUAUGGAGCCUCUCUGUAAGAUCUAACCCCACUACUGAUUCCAAGGAUGUGACCAUUCUGCAUUUCAACGACAUCUACAAUGUAGAGCCCUCAGCUAGUGAGCCGGUGGGUGGGGCUGCCAGGUUUUGUUCCUUGAUUAAGAGCUACAGCUAUCUCCAACCCCUUGUUCUAUUCAGUGGGGAUGUUUUCUCUCCAAGUCCUUUGAGUUAUUUCACCAAAGGUGCUCAGAUGUCGGCUGUUCUCAAUGAGUGUGGGGUUCAUGCAGCUAUUUUUGGAAACCACGAUUUUGAUUAUGGAUUGAACGUUUUAAAACAGCGGGUGGAAGAGACACAGUUUCCUUGGAUACUGUCCAAUGUAAUGACAGACAACAAUCUGACCCUUGCACAAAGUCAACGUACUCUGGUGGUGCAAAGAAACAACAAACGUAUCGGACUGAUAGGACUGACUGAACAGAAGUGGCUUGAUGUUCAAAUUACUAUUGACCCAGUUAGAGUACACUAUCAAGACUUCAUCCUUAUCUGCAAUGACCUGACAGAGUAUCUUCGCAAUCAGGGUUGCGACUAUGUUAUAGCACUGACUCACCUGCGAAUGAAAAAUGACAUCAAGUUGGCAGAAGGUUGUCCAGGUGUAGACCUAAUCCUAGGAGGCCAUGAUCAUGAAUAUCAAGUAAUUCAGGUCAAUGGGACGUACAUUGUGAAGAGUGGAAGUGACUUUAAAAGUCUUUCUAAAAUUCAUCUCCAAUUUAGAACAAAUGUUAUUGAACCAAAAAUUCAAGAAAUUAAUGUAACUUCUAACAUUCAAGAGGAUAAUAUUCUAAAGAACUUGCUGAGGAAAUACUCUGAUGUAUUGGAGAGGGAGGGAGACAAGCAGCUUCUAGUCUUGUCAGAGGCAAUGGACGCACGUGUCAAUGAGUUAUGGCGUGCUGAGUCUAGCCUGGGCAACUGGCUGAGUGAUGCUGUACUAUCAGUAACCGCAGCAGAUAUUGUGCUGCUCAACUCUGGUAUGUUCAAAGCCAAUAGGGAGUUCCCAGCUGGACCCUUCACACGGCAGCACUUCGCAGCUUUACUGCCCAUAACCAGUGCCAUGGUGAUGCUCAACAUCACUGGUCAGACUGUGCUGGAGAUGUUAGAGAAUGCAGUGAGCCGUUACCCAGAGCCUGAUGGGAGGUUUGGAAAUGUGGCAGGGGUACAGUUUAGUUUCAACCCCGAGGCUAGGAUGGGGCAAAAGGUGAUCCCCCACCAGGUGAUAGUCGGAGCCGGGAAGCUGAAGCUGGACAGAUAUUACAAGCUGGCCACCAGAGUCUACCUACAAAAGGGCUAUGACGGCUACACGAUGCUACAGGGAACUCCCGAACUUGAGAAACAGGUGUGUGCUUGACUCUUGAAAUGAUUAUUGAAACUUAUUUGGAGACUCUGCAGAAGAUAUCAAAAAACUGGUUGAAAUUCUUUCAUUUAAUUACUCCUUCAAAUCAGCGUCAUUUAUGCCUGUUUCCAGAAUCUGGGCCAAUAAUGUUAUGCCCCAAAACUGACAAGAGGAUAAAUCCGUGCUUCAAAGAAUGCACCAAUAUAAAUCAAUGAUUAAUUUUACACUGCAGCAUAAGUAAGCUAUUAAAAUGUAAUUGUUAUUUUUGGGAGUAAUUUUUUUAUAUUUUUUACAAAGUAACUGUUAACAAAAUAUUUAUUAUUAAAUUAGAGAUAAAAGAUUAUAAUUGUGCCACGAAUUUAAAAUAUGGCUCCUAUCUUGUUCGUAAAAAAGUUUCUGAAACUUUUCUAUAAUUCAUGAAGAAAGAUGAUUCAAUGAAGAACUUCUUAAUAUGAUAACAAUCUUAAAUAAACUUCUUUAACCCAGAA
rnacentral:misc_RNA from 1 species